GGGUUGUGAGGUUAAGCGACUAAGCGUACACGGUGGAUGCCCUGGCAGUCAGAGGCGAUGAAGGGCGUGCUAAUCUGCGAUAAGCGCCGGUAAGGUGAUAUGAACCGUUAUAACCGGCGAUACCCGAAUGGGGAAACCCAGUGUGAUUCGUCACACUAUCAUUAACUGAAUCCAUAGGUUAAUGAGGCGAACCGGGGGAACUGAAACAUCUAAGUACCCCGAGGAAAAGAAAUCAACCGAGAUUCCCCCAGUAGCGGCGAGCGAACGGGGAGGAGCCCAGAGCCUGAAUCAGCAUGUGUGUUAGUGGAAGCGUCUGGAAAGGUGCGCGAUACAGGGUGACAGCCCCGUACACAAAAGCGCAUGUGCUGUGAGCUCGAUGAGUAGGGCGGGACACGUGGUAUCCUGUCUGAAUAUGGGGGGACCAUCCUCCAAGGCUAAAUACUCCUGACUGACCGAUAGUGAACCAGUACCGUGAGGGAAAGGCGAAAAGAACCCCGGCGAGGGGAGUGAAAAAGAACCUGAAACCGUGUACGUACAAGCAGUGGGAGCCCCACCACCAAAGCAUUCUCUGGUGUUGAAGGCCCUGCAAAGCAGCAUCGCGGUGGCGGAGCGUCGUUUGCGACGCCCAACACACAAAACAAGCGGUGAAUGCUUUGGGGUGGGGUGACUGCGUACCUUUUGUAUAAUGGGUCAGCGACUUAUAUUCUGUAGCAAGGUUAACCGAAUAGGGGAGCCGGAGGGAAACCGAGUCUUAAUUGGGCGUUAAGUUGCAGGGUAUAGACCCGAAACCCGGUGAUCUAGCCAUGGGCAGGUUGAAGGUUGGGUAACACUAACUGGAGGACCGAACCGACUAAUGUUGAAAAAUUAGCGGAUGACCUGUGGCUGGGGGUGAAAGGCCAAUCAAACCGGGAGAUAGCUGGUUCUCCCCGAAAGCUAUUUAGGUAGCGCCUCGUGAAUUCAUCUCCGGGGGUAGAGCACUGUUUCGGCUAGGGGGCCAUCCCGGCUUACCAACCCGAUGCAAACUGCGAAUACCGGAGAAUGUUAUCACGGGAGACACACGGCGGGUGCUAACGUCCGUCGUGAAGAGGGAAACAACCCAGACCGCCAGCUAAGGUCCCAAAGUCAUGGUUAAGUGGGAAACGAUGUGGGAAGGCCCAGACAGCCAGGAUGUUGGCUUAGAAGCAGCCAUCAUUUAAAGAAAGCGUAAUAGCUCACUGGUCGAGUCGGCCUGCGCGGAAGAUGUAACGGGGCUAAACCAUGCACCGAAGCUGCGGCAGCGAACGUAUCACUUAAAGCGAUUCAGCGGGUUACGAUUGACGGAGCGAAGCGACGUCAAAGCGUAUACAAAGUCGAGUCGGUUUAAGGAUACGUUCGUUGGGUAGGGGAGCGUUCUGUAAGCCCGUGAAGGUGGCCUGUGAGGGUUGCUGGAGGUAUCAGAAGUGCGAAUGCUGACAUAAGUAACGAUAAAGCGGGUGAAAAGCCCGCUCGCCGGAAGACCAAGGGUUCCUGUCCAACGUUAAUCGGGGCAGGGUGAGUCGACCCCUAAGGCGAGGCCGAAAGGCGUAGUCGAUGGGAAACGGGUUAAUAUUCCCGUACUUGGUGUUACUGCGAAGGGGGGACGGAGAAGGCUAUGUUGGCCGGGCGACGGUUGUCCCGGUUUAAGCGUGUAGGUGUGUGUUCCAGGUAAAUCCGGUUCACUUUAACACUGAGGCGUGACGACGAGGCACUACGGUGCUGAAGCAACAAAUGCCCUGCUUCCAGGAAAAGCCUCUAAGCAUCAGGUAACACGAAAUCGUACCCCAAACCGACACAGGUGGUCAGGUAGAGAAUACCAAGGCGCUUGAGAGAACUCGGGUGAAGGAACUAGGCAAAAUGGUGCCGUAACUUCGGGAGAAGGCACGCUGACACGUAGGUGAAGUGAUUUACUCAUGGAGCUGAAGUCAGUCGAAGAUACCAGCUGGCUGCAACUGUUUAUUAAAAACACAGCACUGUGCAAACACGAAAGUGGACGUAUACGGUGUGACGCCUGCCCGGUGCCGGAAGGUUAAUUGAUGGGGUCAGCGCAAGCGAAGCUCCUGAUCGAAGCCCCGGUAAACGGCGGCCGUAACUAUAACGGUCCUAAGGUAGCGAAAUUCCUUGUCGGGUAAGUUCCGACCUGCACGAAUGGCGUAAUGAUGGCCAGGCUGUCUCCACCCGAGACUCAGUGAAAUUGAACUCGCUGUGAAGAUGCAGUGUACCCGCGGCAAGACGGAAAGACCCCGUGAACCUUUACUAUAGCUUGACACUGAACAUUGAGCCUUGAUGUGUAGGAUAGGUGGGAGGCUUUGAAGUGUGGACGCCAGUCUGCAUGGAGCCGACCUUGAAAUACCACCCUUUAAUGUUUGAUGUUCUAACGUGGACCCGUAAUCCGGGUUGCGGACAGUGUCUGGUGGGUAGUUUGACUGGGGCGGUCUCCUCCUAAAGAGUAACGGAGGAGCACGAAGGUUGGCUAAUCCUGGUCGGACAUCAGGAGGUUAGUGCAAUGGCAUAAGCCAGCUUGACUGCGAGCGUGACGGCGCGAGCAGGUGCGAAAGCAGGUCAUAGUGAUCCGGUGGUUCUGAAUGGAAGGGCCAUCGCUCAACGGAUAAAAGGUACUCCGGGGAUAACAGGCUGAUACCGCCCAAGAGUUCAUAUCGACGGCGGUGUUUGGCACCUCGAUGUCGGCUCAUCACAUCCUGGGGCUGAAGUAGGUCCCAAGGGUAUGGCUGUUCGCCAUUUAAAGUGGUACGCGAGCUGGGUUUAGAACGUCGUGAGACAGUUCGGUCCCUAUCUGCCGUGGGCGCUGGAGAACUGAGGGGGGCUGCUCCUAGUACGAGAGGACCGGAGUGGACGCAUCACUGGUGUUCGGGUUGUCAUGCCAAUGGCACUGCCCGGUAGCUAAAUGCGGAAGAGAUAAGUGCUGAAAGCAUCUAAGCACGAAACUUGCCCCGAGAUGAGUUCUCCCUGAGACUUAGAGUCUCCUGAAGGAACGUUGAAGACGACGACGUUGAUAGGCCGGGUGUGUAAGCGCAGCGAUGCGUUGAGCUAACCGGUACUAAUGAACCGUGAGGCUUAACCUUACAACGCCGAAG
rnacentral:rRNA from 1 species